rnacentral:antisense_RNA from 1 species
UGUAGAUUAUGUGUAUUGGCAUUAUUGGUUUGAUUUUGCAAUUUUUAACCUUGCUGAUGUGCUCAUUGAUAUAAGUGUGGUGUUGAUGAUUUAUCAAAUGUUACAAGAAAAAAGAAAUGGUGGCCACGACUGGACUUGAACCAGCGACCACUACCA